CUUUCUUGCGCUAUUUUGAAGGAUAUUGUGUUCUUAAAUGUACGUCUUCGUUACAAGUAUACAUAGUACCAUCUAGAAAAUCAAGCAUCGAUAUUUAAUUUUCGGCGCUUUGUGUACCCGUCAUACCUGAAGGCAAGCAAAUAGCCACUGCGUCCUGCACGAACUUGUGGCCUGCCUAUCGAGGCCACUCCUCUCUGAACAAGGUUGUGUCAGUGUCCUCAGACCAAUGUGAUGUACUGGCAACAGGACGGGCUGUGUGCUGCUGUCAAGUUAUCCAGCCUUCGGUCUGGCCAGCUUGUAUUAGUGUUGCGUUAAUGUAUAUCCUGAAAGCAUAAAAAUAAACGCUACUGUGAUGUGAUAGCCAUUUCCUUGUAUGGAUGUGCCAUAUACUUCGUGUGUGUUAGCUCAGGUGCACCAUGAAUGAUGUUGAAUGUCCCGAGAAGUACAGCCUAUGC